rnacentral:rRNA from 1 species
GACGAACGCUGGCGGCGUGCCUAAUACAUGCAAGUCGGACGCAGUUGCGAACGGGUGAGUAACGCGUAGGUAACUACCUGUUAGAGGGGGAUAACUAUUGGAAACGAUAGCUAAUACCGCAUACUAGUAGAUGGACCUGCGUUGUAUUAGCUAGUAGGUAGGGUAAUGGCCUACCUAGGGAACGAUACAUAGCCGAGCCUGGAGGGGGGACGGGCAACACGGGAAUGGGGCAAGGCCCAAGACCCUAACGGGAGGAACAAGAGGGAAUUUUGGGGAAAGGGGGGAACGCUGGCCGAGCAAAGCCGGGUGAGUGGAGGAAGGUUUCGGAUUGGAAAGCUCUGUUGUUCAGGGAGCGGUACUUAACCAGAAAGGGACGGCUAACUACGUGCCAGCAGCCGCGGUAAUUC